GACGAACCGUGCGAACGUUGUUCGGAUUCACUGGGCUUAAAGGGCGCGUAGGCGGGCCGGCCAGUCUGUGGUGAAAGCCCCCAGCUCAACUGGGGAAGUGCCGUGGAUACUGCCGGUCUGGAGGAGGGUAGGGGCAUCUGGAACGCUGGGUGGAGCGGUGAAAUGCGUUGAUAUCCAGCGGAACUCCGGUGGCGAAGGCGAGGUGCUGGACCCUUUCUGACGCUGAGGCGCGAAAGCCAGGGGAGCGAACAGG
rnacentral:rRNA from 1 species